rnacentral:lncRNA from 1 species
GGUUUGUUAGGUUCUUUAUGAUACAAGUGGCUUCUUGGAAAAGAACAGAGAUCCUCUUCACUCUGAUUCGAUCCAACUCCUCUCAUCAUGUAGUUGCAAGCUUCCUCAGUUGUUUGCCUCCAAUUUGCUCGACCACUCCCAGAAGCAAGCUAGUCCUUUAUCCUUAGGUGCAUUUGAUUCCCAGAAGCAAAGUGUUGGGACAAAGUUUAAGGUAAAGAUGUUUGUUUCCUGGAACUGGAUAUACUGUGCAUUUAGCUACAAACUAUUUUUCAAUUACAAGCCACCUAAUAUGAAACUUGGAACAGUACUGCAGUAUGUGAAGUAAUAAUGUGUAAAACCUCUACUCUCUUUUGACAAUUUAAUUGAUUUAAAAUUGUAAAUAGUAUUUGCAUAGUACCUGUUAAUGUGGUUAUUUGGAUUCUUGCCUGCAUAUAUGGUAGCUUGGCAAUCAGAAUGCGCUUUUUUGUUGUUUGAUGAAGGUCCUUUAUACGUCUGUGAUGAGAUGAAUAUCAAUCAAUGUGUACAUGUAAAUGGACGAGAAUUACUAUGUUUUGGUGUCUUCUUACUUGUUUGGUUUAUAGACUCAUGUUUGUACAAUAAUUUUUAGGAAUCCAUUUUAUGCUUGUAGGAUCAACUGUUCAAACUGAUGCAGCAGUUGGAGAACACUUCUCCUCACUUCAUUCAUUGCAUAAAACCUAAUGAUAAACAGCUUCCUGGCAUGUAUGAAAAGGAUCUUGUCUUGGAGCAGCUCAGGUGUUGUGGAGUUUUGGAGGUAGUCAGGAUCUCAAGAUCUGGGUAUCCUACUCGAAUGACACAUCAAGAAUUUGCAAGAAGGUACAGGAUGACACCCUCCUUUAUUUCAAUGUUUUUUCUUGUACUAGUGUUUAAUAGUUCUUAUCAUAUGCUUGCAUAUAAUUAGGUAUGGGUUUCUACUUCCGAAGGACAAUGAAUACCAGGAUCCAUUAAGUAUAUCAGUUUCUGUUCUUCAGCAAUUUAAUAUCCUUCCUGAUCUGUAUCAAGUUGGCUACACAAAAUUAUAUUUCCGAACAGGACAGGUGAGUUCUAUAUUUUUGCCUAUAUAUUUGUGUGGGCUUCUAUAAUUUUUCUUGUAUGUGAUGCCCCGUAUGGAUUAGAAAAUGAUGGUCUGCACUCUUCCCUCUUUAAGAAACAAAAUCCAGGGUAGAUCUGUUUAAAGUGGGGCUACUGGAUGGUAUUUCAAGCUUCCUACUUUCUUCACUUUGCAGAUAUGCACAAAUCUGCCAGAGUGAAAAGGUGGGGCCCUCUGCCUAGAUCUUGUGCUCUUGGAUGCUCAUGCAUGGGUUUGAGCAGUUGCACAAAGUUCCCAUGAGCAAGUUUGAGAAAAUUUUUGAGGAAAAUUGGAAUUGAUUUCCUUUGAUUCAUUUAGAAAAAAGUGUACACACACACACAAACACACACAACAGUGCUACAAAAACAUGAAAUUACCAUAAAUGGAAAUCUAAAAAGAAAGUCAAUGUUUGUAAAUAGACAAGAGCCUCAAAAAUCUGCCUACAAUAGGAGUGAGUAGAAGAUAUUUGAAUUUCUAAAUCUCUAGAAUCCUCCUUAUGAAUAAAGCAAAAGCAUUAGGCUCUAUUUAACAAUUGUUUUUUCAAACAGUUUUUUGUUUUUUGGACCAAAAUAACUGGAAAAUACUUUUGACAGAUGGAAAUAGAAAAUAGUUUUUUUUGCUCUUAAAAACAGAAAAUAUGGUGUUUUUAGAAAACAUUUUUUAAUUGUCUUGACUUGUUUUCAAAGGGCUGUUUUAGUUGGUUUGUUGUUUCUCUUUCCUUUUACUUGUAUUCAGCAUGCUUAUAGAACGGAGCAUGAUUUUCUUAACCUUUUGUGCAUCUUAACUUGUAGACUGCUUUCAUGAACUUUUCAAACCAAGCUCUCAGGAAUUGUUUGAUGUUUAGCUUAUAUGUACGAAUCUGAAGAAAAGGAUUCCUGUUAGAACUAGAUGAUUUCCCUAUUGAUCUAUCAAAAUUUUCAGAUGUUAUUUCAGACAUUUGAAAGGAACACACUGGUAAAGAAGGUUGAUCGAAACUGUUAACAAUGAAGGCCAACGGAAAAAAUACACCUUAGUCUAGAACCCUUAAUUGCUCUGACACCAUUAGGAAAAUUGGAAUUGAUUUUCCUUCAUUCAUUUAGGGGAAAAAAAUUUACUACAUGUAUAGACAACAGGGUUACAAGAAAAGGGAACUGCAAGAAUGUAUACUUGAAACCUAAAAAGAAAGUCAAUGUUAGGAGAUAGACGAGCAUCAGAAUGCCUCUAAUCCUCCUCAUGGGUGGGAAAAAAAUGUUACUUUCUCAACACUUAUUUAUAUUUUAAAUCUUUUUGGAAGUCUUCAGGAACAAAAGUCCUGUAUUGGUUUUGUCUUCCACCAAAUAAAUAAACAAGACAGAUCAUUGAGACUCCAUUACCUUCUGCUUGAAUUUUUCUUUUUCUUUUUCAGAUGAAUGAUUUAGAUUACAAGAGUGCCAAAGUUGUUGUGACCUGACAUCUAUAGUAAUAUAUCCCAACUUCUACAUCACAUCAGUAGACAUGCAUAUUGUGCUCAUUUUGGAUGGUUCAAUUUUACUUUAAUGAUUGUAAUCUUGGAUUCAUGCUGGAACAGUCCAAAGCAAAUGAGAAUUACCAGAUAAAAUGGAUUUGACUCACUUAUGGUAGUUUAAUGCGCUAGCAAGUUAUCAUAUCUUUAAAGAAAUCACUUUCGAAGAUGAUAGUAUUCAUCCAAAACUCCUAAUCUCCAUAGUCCAUCCAGGUGAUGAUGUAUAGUAGGACAAUGAAGUGCUGUUGCCACUUAAUUAUAUUGAUGAAUCUCAUCAAGGUAUUGAGUAAAACAGUGAGAAAGUAGCAUCUGAAUUUAGGUGACAAUAUUAUGCUUGUCGAACCCAGAGAUCCAUAGCUAGCACCGAGAAUCUUCUAUGAAAAGCAUCUAAACAACCAAGACCACCCUACUGUUGUUUAGGAUCCAACAUGACCCAUUUAUUGCAAAUCAGCCCUAAAAAGUGGUCUUUUUCCCCCUUUUGUAGGUUUUUUUUUUUGGGAGAAUUAUGAUUUAGGGUCUUCUAAAUCAUAUAAUGGUCAAAAGGAUAUAAAAGAUUGACAUUUCACCUCACAACCCGCAACAAAUGAGUUUUACUUAAAUUGUUUUGAAUAAUAUUUGACGAUUUGGCUAUCAGAAAAUGUCAAAAUUACUUUUUUUUUGUCUUUUUAUAUCAUUCCAUCUUUACUUUUUCUAAUUUUCUUUUUUGUCUUUUCUUUCCUUCUAUUUAUAAUUAUUUGCAAUAAUACAUCAAAUAAUAAUAAAUAGUAUUAAAAAUGCUAAAAGUUCAAAUAAUGAUAAUAAUAACAACACUAAUAUUAAAAUAGUAGUCUUAAUAAUAAUAAUUAUUGUUAUAUUAUUAUUCUUAUUGUUGUUGUUUUUGUUGUUGUUAUUAUUAUUAUUAUUAUAGAGUAAGAUGAAAAGAUAAAUAAUAAUAAAGAAAAUGAGAAAAGGACAAAAUAAAAAAAGACAAAAGAAUGGUAUUUUUGUCGUUUUACUCAUAAUGGACUUAUUAUCAAUUUAUGAAGUUUUGUAUCUUUUACCCCGAGUGCACUACUUUCUCCACCCUAAAGUAUAUUCUCUCUUUUCUUUUUUAAUCCCUACAGAGAAGUGAACCUGAAACCUCCCAUGACCCCACCCCAAACCCAUUACUUCAUGAAUCAGGCCUCAAAGGCUCCUUCAAAAGGUUACAUUAAGUUAUAUCUAUCAGUUAUUGUCCUUAUGCACUUUUUUUUUCUUUUUGUUAAAGAAAAUGGUAGAAAUGCACAGCAGUGAAACAACUCACAAGUUCUUGAUAAAACCAACAUACUCUGCCCAAAGAACUGAACCUAAAGAUGUUUUCUCCUUGUCAUUCUUAGGUGUUUUCUUCCAAUUAUUUUUGCAAGCGUCAAUACAAUUGGAGUCAGCACUGUAUGGAUGCUGAUGCCUCAAUCACCUACCAAUAGUUGCCUUUCUAGUCUUGAUUGGUUGUGACUCUGAUUGAAAGUUUGUUAUGAUGGACCUACAUUCAUUCUACACAAGCACUUCAAAAUAUGAAGAAUCCAUGGACAUGAAUAAAGGUAUUGGGUACCUGGUUUGGCAUCCCUACCAACUUGCCCAAUACUGUCCAAAAUAAGAAAAAACCGAUUCCUAUUUCACUAUAAAUUUCCUCAUGUGCUUUCUUUGAUCACACUUGUAUGCUACCCUAUAGAAAAAGGAAAAAGCAGGCCUUUUUUAUUUUUAUUUUUUUUGAUAAUAUUGCCAUGCUUUUGUUGUAAGAUUUGGGGAUUAGAUGAAUUCAGCACCUAGAAAAAGACACAGGUGGUACUUGUAUCUAACUCCUGUAACAUAGAGAUAGUGCUUAAUCUUAGUUUUGAGAGAAAAAAAAAAAGAAAGGAAGAGAAAAAUGGUAGAAGAUGAAAGAAGUGAGAGUAGAAUAACUUGGUAGCUUGGCAAAGCUUUGGUGACCUCCAAGUUCUGCAGCAGUGACUUAGCAUGUCUUUGUAUUGAGAUAAGAGUUUAUUGUACUGUGGUUUUAUCUGAUGUUUCUAUAUCUUGGUCUUGCAUAGAUUGAUGAAUUGGAGGAUAUGAGAAAACAAGUUCUGCAAGGCAUAAUUGUGGUUCAAAAACGCUUCCGUGGCCGCCAGGCUCGUCGUUAUUUCUAUGAACUCAAGGGAGGAGUAACCACACUGCAAUCAUGUAAUUCAUAUGUAACUUUGAAACUUUUAGUUGUUUAAUUUGGAAGAGAUGCAUUACCGAUUUUACAUUCUUGUUUGCCUCAUGCCACCUGCAUAUAUUGCUCAUUUUAUGCAAAUUGGAGAACCGGUAUUGUUUUAGGAUUUUUAUAAUUUUUUUUUGUCCUUACAAAUAUUUUUGCUUAGAAACUCCAGAUAUCAAGUAAUGUUGUGGCUUAGAGUUUUUUGGAUUUUUUAAGGACUUCUUGAUUUUUUAGGAUCAUCAGAUUCCACUUUAUAUAAUUUUCACUUUUCAUUUCUUAAUGUAAGUUAUAUUUUCCAUGCAGUUGGUCAUGGUGAAAAUGCUAGAAGGGGGAAUGAUGUUUUGGUAAAGACUUGGAGAGCUGAUAUUCCCACACAGAAGCAUAUGAAACAGCAGGUUGCUCCACAAACACCUGAUGAGGGGGCAAUCAUACAUUUACAAUCUGGUAAAAACUGUGUUGCUUGUUUGAACUAAUUUAUGGUGGUUCGAUUUGCAUAUACUGUUCUCAUUAUUUUUCUUCUAUUUUUUUUUUUAUUAAUUCUUUUCCUUUCAGUAAUCCGUGGGUUGUUGGCUCGAAAGCAUUUUAAUCACAUGCAGGGCUCGAAAAAGCUGAAUCUUGAGAAUGCAAAUUCUAGACAAAAGUCAGAUAGGAGGAUUUCAGAUGUAAAGGUACUCUCUACAUGCACCUAGUAGCAUACAAGAAUAUUUUUAACUACAGUUAAGUCAUUAGUCACUACUUCUUAGGCAUAGACAAGAGAACAGUUGCAUCUACUGCUGUUCCAAAAUACUGUUCCUUCUGUAUUAUGAUAAACAUUUGCCUACAACUUUCAUUUAUGGAUAACUUUUUUCCCUGAUAAGCCAGCAAAACAGAUAUAUUAACAAUGCCUAUCAAAAAGAGUGCACCAGAGUACACAGGUUGUAUAUAAGGGCACCAAAAGGCAAGAUCAAAACAAAGAAAGUGAAAUACAAAACACAAAAAAUGACAAUCCCUCCUCAUACAUAGCACUAAACCAAUCGACUAAGUCUAUCAUAGACAUUGUUGCUCCAUUUAAGCCUACCCUCACCACUAUAAAACUAAACAUACGAAGGAGUAUUUUAGUGCUUGACCAUUUGUUACACAUCCUUGAAGGACUUAUUAUUUCUCUCCUAAACAGUCUAAAAAAUACAUAACAGGGCAAAACUCCAUGCUUUAUUUCUUCUCUCUCCCGCAAAGGAUCCUUGCCAACUUAAGUGGCCAUUUUAAUUGAAGUUGGCAUCACCCAUUCUAUCCUAAACAAUGAGAAGACUAGCUGCCACAUGAUUCUUGUUGUGAAAAGAGAGAAAAUGGAGAAUCCCUAAUUUUUGUUAUAAAUUAUACAUGCUAGUGGGACCCACAAUACAAUAAGGAAAAAAGAAAAGAAAAGUAAAUAACUGAAAUAACUAUACACUAUCUAACACUCCCCCUCAAGCUGGAGCAUAUAUGUUAUAUGCACCAAGCUUAUUACAAAUGUAUUUAAUUCUAGGACCUCUGAGAAAUUUAGUAAAAAUAUCUGCUAGUUGAUCAUUUGAAUUGACAAAACUAGUCGCCACACAUCCUGAUGCGAUCUUCUCUCUAAUGAAGUGACAGUCAAUUUCAAUGUGUUUGGUCCUUUCAUGGAAGAUUGGAUUGGAUGCAAAGCUGCUUGGUUGUCACAGAUGAGCUUCAUCUGUUCAUCAUUUCCAAAUCUCAACUCCCGAAGAAGAUGUUUCAGCCAUAUGGGUUCACAUGUUGCCAGAGCCAUAGCUCGAUACUCGGCUUUAGCACUAGAUCUGACCACUACAUCUUGUUUCUUACUCUUCCAGGAUAUUAGGUUACCUCCAAUAAAAACACAAUACUCGAAAGUGGAACGUCUAUCUGUGGGUGAGCUAGUCCAAUCUGCAUCUGUGUAACCAACAACAUGGGUAUGACCUCUGUUCCCGUACAACACACCUUGGCCUGGUGUGCUUUUGAUAUAUCGAAGAAUGCGGAUCACAACAUCCCAAUGGCUAUCACAUGGUAACUGUAGGAAUUGACUAACAACACUUACGGGAAAAGAAAUGUUUGGACGAGUAAUGGUGAGGUAGUUCAAUUUACCUACAAGUCGCCGAUAUCUCCUAGGAUCUCCUAAAGGCUCCCCCUGUCCUGGAAUAAGUUUGACAUUUGGAUCCAUAGGAGUGUCUACCGGUUUACAGUCUAAUAUACCGGCUUCUUCCAAGAUGUCUAAAGCAUACUUCCUUUGGGAAAGAACCACACUGGAACUGGAUUGAGCUAUCUCAAUCCCUAAGAAAUACUUGAAUUUUCUCAAGUCUUUAGUCUGAAAGUGGGUGAAAAGGUGUUGCUUUAGUUUCUUAAUAUCAUUUUGAUCACUGCCUGUAAUGACGAUGUCGUCCACAUAAACUACCAGAUAAAUACACUGCCCCGAAGAGUUAUGAUGAUAGAAAACGAAAUGGUCUGUUGUAUUGCGAAACAUGUCAAACUCCUGAACAACAGAACUAAAACGGCUAAACCAUACUCGAGGAGAUUGUUUCAAGCCAUAUAGAGAACGACGUAACCUACAUGCUAAACCAGACUUUCCCCUGAGCAACAAAACCAAGUGGUUGCUCCAUAUAAAUUUCCUCAGCAAGAUCCCCAUGAAGGAAUGCAUUUUUAAUAUCUAACUGAUAAAGAGGCCAAGAUGACAUAACAACCAUGGAGAGCAAUAAACGAACAAAAGCUAUCUUGGCAACAGGAGAGAAAGUGUCAUCAUAAUCAGAACCAUAAACCUGAGUAUGGCCUUUAGCAACUAAGCGGGCCUUAAGGCGAUCAACCUGACCAUCAGGGCUAACGUUAACUGUGUAGACCCAAUGACAAUCAACUGUAGAUUUACCAGAGGGUAAAACAAUAAGAUCCCAAGUGCCAUUGGAGUGUAAAGCAGCCAUUUCAUCUACCAUCGCCUGUCACCAGCCUGGAUGGGAAAGAGCCUCAGGGGUGCUCUUGAGAAGAGAAAUAGAAGAUAUAGCAUAAAUAAAUGCAGAAUAAGGUGAAGAUAAUCGAUGGUAACUCAAAAAAUUGUAAAUGAGAUGAGGAUUACGAGUAGAUCGAUUACCUUUUCGAAGAGCAAUGGAUAAGUUAGCAGAAGGAGGCAGAGUCGUGGCAGGAGAAGCCGAAGGGAUAGGAAAUGAGUCAGCGGGUACCUCGGCCAAUGAAGGAGGAAUAACGACACGAUGACGGCGAUGAUAAACUUGAAGUGGGCGACAAGGCACUGCAUCAGGUGGGGAGAUAAUGGGAAGGGGUAUGACUUCAGAAACAGGAAGAAACUCAGAGGUGGAGAAGAAUGGUGAGUCCUCAAAGAAUGUGACAUAAGCGGAGAAAAAGUAGCGAUGAGUCUUAGAGGAAUAACAACGAUAACCCUUUUGAAGUCUGGAGUAUCCUAAGAAGAUGCAUUUUGUGGCUUUGGCAGAAAGUUUGUCCUGUUCAGGAGUGAGAAUAUGAACAAAGCAAGUACAACCAAAAACACGAGGAGGAAAAAAAUAAAGUGGUUGGUCAGAGAAAAGAAGGGCUUGAGGAAUCUGAUCGUGUAAUAUAGAUGAGGGCAUACGAUUAAUCAAAUAACAUGCUGUAAGAAUAACGUCCCCCCAAAAACGAAAAGGAACAUUACUAUGGAGAAGGAGAGUACGAGCUGUCUCAACAAGAUGUCGAUUCUUACAUUCAGCUACCCUAUUUUGUUGAGGAGUAUGAGCACAAGAAGACUGAUGAAGGAUCCCAUGUUGGGACAUAAAUGAAGUAAAUGGUGCAGAAAAAUAUUCCCUGACAUUGUCACUGCGUAACACACGAAUAGAAAUAUUGAACUGAGUUUGGAUUUCAACAUAAGAUUUCUGGAAAAUAGAGAAUAACUCAGCUCGAUUUUUCAUUAAAAAUAACCAAGUACAUCGAGAAUAGUCAUCAAUGAAAGUGACAAAAUAUUGAAAUCUUAAAGUAGACGCGAUUCGACAAGGACCCCAAACAUCAGUGUGGACAAGUUCAAAAGGAGAUUUUGCCCGAUUAUUCAAACGCUUUGGGAACGAGACACGAGUAUGUUUCCCAAGCUAACAUGACUCACACGCAAGUGACGACAAAGAUGAAAAACGAGGGACCAUUUUCUGGAACUUGGAUAGACUAGGGUGGCCUAGGCGAUUGUGGAUGAGGAGGGGAGCAUCAGUGGAAAUGCAAACUGCAGGAGUUGAAGGCGAGGUGAGGUGAUAGAGGCCUUGAGACUCAUGUCCUAUGCCAAUCAUCUUCCCUGUACUCCGGUCCUGCAAGGUCACAAAUUUAUCAGAAAAAGUAAUAGAGCAGUUAAGAGUACGAGUGAUUUAGCCACAGUUUGAGAACCAUUAGUUAAGGUAACAGUAGGUAAGGCAGAGGUAGUAGUAAUAGAAGAGAAAAGAUCCUUAUUACCGGAUAUGUGAUAAGAAGCGCCAGAAUCUAGAAUCCAAGGUCCAAGAGAAGAUGUGUGGGUAAGAUAAGUAGAAGCAUUACCAGUUUGGGCAACAGAAGUAAUAGAAGCUGACUUGGUGGCCUGAUAGCGGAGAUAGUCAUCAUACUCACUGUCAGUGAGAGAAAUACCCUGAGAUGUGGAGGAGCUGGGAGGCUGAGGCGGCUGAGGAUCAGAUGACUGGGCUACGUGGACAGUGCGGGGAGGCCGCCCAUGUAACUGAUAACACCGAUCACAAGUGUGGCCAAGGUUAUUGCAAUAGGUGCAAUGAGGACAUUGACCUUUACCUCGGUUACCACUGCGUCCUCCUCGAGAGUUAGUUUGAGAAACUAACAUAGAAGAAUCUGAAGUGUUAUCAGCUGGCAAAGUCUGAGUGGAGGAGAUACAAAGAAGGCGAACAAACACAUCAUCUAAGGAUGGAACGGAGGAAUUGCCAAGAAUCUGACCACGGACGGUCUCAAGAUCUGGAUGGAGGCUAAUAAGCGUAAGAACCAUGAAGAACUUGUCAAUUUGUAUUCGUUGGUCCCCAACAUCAAUAGUAAGAGGCAUCACGAUCAAGAAUUCCUCCUUACGAGAGGCAAUCUGGCCAAUAUAAGUAGAUAAAUCCAUGUCUUGUUGUCUGACAUUGACAAUAGAAGAAGCCACCUUAUAAAGACGUUGGAUAUCAUUCGUGUAUAGCCUUUUCGCCUGAUUCCAAAAUUUAAAGCAUGUUUUGUAAGCCCAAUGAUGAAGCAGAAUCUUAGGAUCAACUGAUUACCAUAACACAUUACAUAACUGUACAUCUUAUCUUCCUCUAUUGUACUCUAUCAACCUCAGGGAUAUCCGCCUCUUGCGUAACAAGGUGAUCCUCAUAACCUUGACUCAUAAACCAAAGCUCCAUAGAGGCAGACCAGGACAAAUAAUUUUCACUGGCAACCAAUUUCUCUGAAGUAAUCAUAGGAGAUCCAGAUAUAAUAGAGGAAAAAAUGGAACUUUUAGUAGCCAUAUCUACUUAUUUGGAGAAGGAAAUAUGUUUGGAUCGAAGAGAGCCCUAAUACGGCUUCAAAUUGCGGUUCCUAAGACACGUGCAGGGCUCGAGAUGGAGAGAAAGUCACUGGAGGUCACCGGAAAGGCCGUUUAGAGGGCCGGCAGAGACAAAAACCCAAAAAAAUGCACUUGUAGGGCUCGGAUGGCACAAACACAGAUGGAGAGUGGCUAGACGGCGUCAGGCGAGGCUGGAGGUGGAAGCGCGUUGCCGGAAAGUGCUCCACGCGCCCUCACACGCCGGUGCGUGACUGAGAUUCUCCCUCCGGUGCUUUGACAAAACUUGAAGAUCUCCUCCUUGCGCACCUAAUGGUAUGGUCGGUGUUGGAAAAGGACUUCGCCGGAAAAUUCGCCGGCGGUGAGGGUUUUCUAACGGCGAUACGGUUGAUCGGAAAGCUUUAGGAGAUGGGGAAGGUGACUGGAAUGAAACACAGUCACUGAAAGGUUUCCUAGAAUUGAUUCACGGAUAAACCGGAAAUAAUUAGGUUUUUUUUCUCCCUACGCUCUGAUACCAUGUGAAAAGAGAUAAAAGGGAGAAUCCCUAAUUUUUGUUAUUAAAAACUAUUAAUAAUACACAUUGGAUUUGGGUAUAUAUAUACAUGCUAGUGGGACCCACAAUACAAUAAGGAAAAAAAGGAAAAGUAAAUAACUGAAAUAACUAUAUACUAUCUAACACUUGUUUUGGUACGAUGAAGCAAAAGAUGGUCCAUUGAUUAUUUCUCAUCUUUACACAAGAAACAUUUUUUCAACAUGGUCCAACCCUUAUUUUUUAGCUGAUUUUGGUGAGGAUCCUACCCUAAGUUGCAUUUCAAGCAAAAAAUUCUCAUUUUUGUAGGCAACUAAAAGCCUACAUGGCCAGGACAAACAAUUAAAGGGAAAAAGGAUCUCCCUGUUUCAAACCCUUUGAGCUCUACAAGAAAUAGUGGGAUCCCAUUUACAAGGACUGAGAAUCUAGUUGAGGAAAUGCAACAUUUUAUCCUACCUAUUCACUUCUGACCAAAGCCCACCCUUUCCACAAUAGUAAUAAGGAAAGCUCCUCUCAUCCUUCUCUUGUACCUUUAUUAUUAUCAAUAUAUAUUUUGUUUCUGAUAAAAAAAAAUGUAAUGUUUUUUAUCGUUUGAUAUGCAAUCCAAGUUAAUAAAGUCCAAUUAACAUGAUUAUAGGCCUUUGAUGUCAAGCUUACAAAGAACACCACUGGCUAAACUCUUUAGUCUUGAGUAUUUGACCUCAUUUGCAAUAAGGAUUGCGUCCAAAAUCUCUCUCCCCUGUGCAAAGGCAUGUUGAGACUUGGACACAACCUUUCCCACAAACUUUCUAAUUCUAUUAGCCAAAACCUUUGCUGAGAUCUUAUACAAAUAUCCCAUCAAGUUAAUGAGUCUGAAGUCUUUCAAGUCUUUUGAACCCUCUUUAUCAAGGAUUAAUGCUAUAAAUGUGACAUUUAGACUUCUUUCAAAGGUACCUUGCUCAUAAAACUCCUUGAAAAAUCCCAACACUUAUAUUUCACAAAAUCUCACUAAAAGCCAAAGUAAAGUCGUUCUACCUGGGGGCAAAGCCCCCACACAAACUGGUUAAAGCCAAGAAAACUUCCUCUUCAGAAAAAGGAUCCUCUAACCUCCUUGAAUCACCACUUUCCAAAGGGGUGAAGGACAAGCCCUUGAUGCUAGGACAUCAAUCCCUUGAUUUAGACAGAAGGCUUUGAUAGGCAUUAGAUGCCCUUUCCUUAAUAUCUGAUUCCUUUGUCAGCCAAACAUCAUUCACCCUAAGGCUCUGGCCAUGGGGUUCUUUGUCCUUCGUGCAUUAGCUAUCGUAUGAAAAGAACCUAGUGUUUUUAUCCCCUUCUUUCAACCAUAGUUCUCUGGUUUUUUCUCUCCAGCAGGUUUCUUCCAACCUGUCCCAGUUGUUGUAAUCACCCAAAGCCGCUUUUCUAGCCUCAGCCUCAUCAACAGACAGGACCCCUUAUGUCUCCUUCAUGUCCCAAAAAUUAAUCUGAUUCAGGGUCCUUACUCUUCAAAUAGUGACAUUCCCAAACACUUCUUUGUUCCGUACCUUGAGAUUAUGUUUUAGGUCUUUCAACUUAAAGGCCAAAAUGUGACUAAAGGGGCCUCUGACAUCAUAAUCCAUCCACCAUCUUGUUAUAAGCUCUGCAUCCAACUACCCUCCAUUUGGAAGAUCUGAUACUGGCUUUUGGCUGUAGCAAACCACUGAAGUGAUCUUCCCAAUCUUCAUAUACAGGCAACUUCAUUUUUACAUUGUUAUUUCUGCUUUACAUCGAACAUUUGGCUAGAACUUUCAUUCUGCAUUAACUUCCAAUUUUAUCACUUACUUUGAGAUCAAUGAAAUUUAAGUUUGGAUAAAUGAAAUUAUGAGAUUAUCAUUAUGAAAAAGGCCGAAUUCUUGAGACCAAAUUUUAAUGUUGCAUUAGUUCUACCCAAGAUUGUGUUUGAGACAAACCUUCAUAUAAGACAAAGUAGCUGAUUACCCAGUAAAAAUGAUCUGAAAACCCCAUUAACUAAAUUAUAUAUUGUUCAACCCCAAAUAAUAACAAACAUGUACCCAAUGAAACCCAUGACACUGGCAUCAACCUCCAUACAAAAUUUGUAAUUAGAGAGUGCUUCUGCUGUUAUGAAUUAAUCAUGGCCAUUCAUCAUUACCCCCUGGUAGAGAAGUUUUCCUUUUGGUCCAAAAGAUGAACAGUUCCUUGACAUAAGAUAAUUGUGGUGGGUUCAGAUUUUGACCUUUUUUUGGUUAAACUAAAAAUUAACUAGGCAUGAUAGCAUCUCGAGGAAGAUCUCCCAAUCAUAGUCGAUUAUUCUUAAGAAGUCUCUAGAAAAAUCCUCAAAGCAAAUCGCCACUUGUUCCAUCAAGUACUCCAUUUUAUUAAUAUUAUCAGCAGCUUUCUAUUCUUCCAUAUGAAUAUGCCUUAUUUUAAUUUAAGAAUAAUUUUUUCUAAAUAGUCUUUUAGCAAUUCUUUAAUAUGUCUUUAGGGACGGUAAAGUUUGUUCUAAAAUAUGUUGCCACUUCUUUUGGUUAGAUUGUCCCUCAUAUAUAUAUUCUUCAAUUUUCAUAUUUUUCUUUAAAUUUAGUGUUUUAUUUUUUAUUUUUUCUGAAUUGUUAGUAAGAGAACUUUGGGAAGUUGUUUUCUCAUUUCUAAAUAUUCUUUAAUAUAAUACUUUCAUUAUGAAACAACUCCUUACACAGCAUGCACCUAGAAUACCACUGAAGCCUCAGUGUUUUUAAAAUUAUGGCUAGUGUCUGUGCUUGAAAAUGGUCCCUUUUUAUUGUAAGGAUUUAAAGUGUGCAGAAAGACAUGUUUUAAGUUCUAUUAUUUUUUUGAAGAAAAGAAGGAAGAGAUUUAGGCAGCAUUGAGGAUGCCUUUCUGUAAGGAGCAAUGACGUGAAAUACAUGCAUUUGGCGCCUUUUUUUUCUUCUUCGUUGUCUGCUUCUUCUUCUUCUUUUUUUUUUUUUUUUUAAAACUAAUAUUUAUUGGGUGGACCCGUGGUUUGAAUGAAACACUGGUUUCCUAUUCUUUGUUGCUUAUGGAUUUUGAGUAUUAUUUGAUGGAUAAAGAAAAUGUGUCUGGCUUACCAGGAUUUACCACAAGAGCAAGGCCAGGUUCUGCCUUCAGAUUUGUCCAAACUUCAACACCGGGUUCUGAAGGCAGAAGCAACAUUGGGGCAAAAGGAAGAAGAAAAUGCUGCAUUGCGAGAGCAGCUAAAACAAUCUGAGGCAAAGUGGUCAGAGUAUGAGGCAAAGAUGAAAGCAAUGGAGGAGACCUGGCAAAAACAGAUGGCUUCUUUGCAGGUGAGUUUACAUGUUUAUGAAAAAAUGAUAAUGAUGCAUGAAAGCAGUUAAGGAAAACUGUGAGAGCAAAAAAUUCAAACCAAAUUUAUUCAUCUGAACUGAUCAUGGAUGGGUGCAUCAAAACUGGACCUCGAUCUUAUUUGGAUGCUAAUGUAGCUCAAUUUUGAAUCAAAAUGGAAACAGAAAUCCUGUAUCAAAUGGGUUUCUUGGUGCUUGUCUAAAGUUAGCUGUUAGUAAACCAGCAAGGUUGAAACCAAUGGACACAUUUUUUUAACCAAUGGUUGUGCGGUAGGCACUUUGGUACCAUUAUAUGACAUGAUUUUUAUUUAUCAGAUGUUGGCUUCAGAUCCCUUUUCUAAUAUUGACAUUUUGUGGCUUUACCAUGAUUAAAAUGGUACCAUUAUGUGUCUUUAUUUUAUUUUUUUACCGUUUUUACGUAAUUUUAUGCAUGUUUGUGGAUUUCUCAUGUUGAAUCAAAUUACUUGCAUCUCUGAGGAGUUCAAUUGUGAUACUAAUACAGAUGAGUCUGGCUGCUGCUAAGAAAAAUCAUGCUGCUGGUCAAGAUGGAAGGCUUGAUACACCUUCUUCGCCUGGCUAUUAUGAUUCUGAGGGUACCCCAUCCAUGGAAACUCGAACUCCUGGUGCAAACACACCUGUCAAAUUGUCUAAUGUUGGAGCAGGGCGCGAGAGUAAUGGCAACUUGAAUACAGUCAGCCACCUGGCAAAGGAGUUUGAGCAGCGCAAACAGUCAUUUGAUGAUGAUGCCAAAACCCUCGUUGAGGUUAAAUCUGGGCAACCCUCUUCAAAUAUGAAUCAUGAUGAAUUAAAGAAACUGAAGCAAAGGUUUGAGGCAUGGAAGAAAGAUUACAAGGUUCGGUUACGGGAGACAAAGGCUAGGCUUCAUAAGCUUGGGCAUUCUGAAGGGGAAAGAAUUCGCCGUAAAUGGUGGGGGAAGAGAAUCUCAAAAUCGACGUAGCAUCUAGUUUAGGAUAUGCGCAAUGUCUAUUGUUCGUGGACAAAAAUGGAGAUGACUGAAGCAUUCUUCUCAAAAAGGAUACAUUGUUGAGACCCCCUCAUACCAUGUUUCUGAGUCUGUCCGUCCUUGUGUUUAUGGGUUUACUGUGUUGUGGGGUUAGCAGAAAGGAGAGUGAUUGUGUUUGUAUAUCUAUCAAAUUUUGUUUCUCAGUGAAAAGAUUUACAAGCUUGUUCAUAGCCCAAUGAGGAUUUGUCUCAAGUUUUUAGCACGUAAUUAAACAAUUUGAGUCGUGUAUAUUUUCAUAAUCAAUGUAAUGUCAGAAUAUUUAGUGCUUCAUAGUUUGUAAUGAGAAGAUGGAAGAAAAAUGUCCAUAUUACGGCUUGUGUAUGAAGUGUUUGCCUUCACGGUGUAGUAGAUGAUCAUAGGAAUAUUUUUGUGACUGCAUAUCCAACUAAUUUAUCUUUCCUUCUAGAGCAGUUAGCAUUAUUUAUUAUGUUAAGCUUAAGCUUAAGAUGAAAGAUGUGUGCUUUCAAGAACCAAAGCUUCAAAGAUCUGUAUUCUUUUCGAGAAGAUGAAGCUUGCACCAACACUGCAGACUAGAUUGCUUUCUUCUUACAAGCUGCUUGAGAUUCAACUUUUUCCCUACCCCAAAAGCUAGGUUUUUCUGGAUUGGCAAUGAGUGAAUUAUUAUAUAUGUAGAUGCAUAAAUGGAUUCAUUUUAGGAGGAGAGAUUUUCAAUUAUUUAUUUAUUUAUUUUUUAAUCAAUUUGUUGGAUGAUCAGAAUGUGAAUAUGGUAAACAUAGUUAUUUGAAUCUUUUGUUUGAAUAGCGAUGACCCUCCAUGCUGGUUGAAUUCAAUUUAUGAGAUCCUGACAACAUUAUUGUUCUCUCUUGCAGGAGUUCACACCACAUUCCAGACACCUGAGGGUCCUGAAUGUCGAAACAGCAGGACUUACAAGAGUUUGAGAGUUAUUUCAUUUACCGGAAAAUGCAGUGUUCCAUCUGAAACAUAAAUUAUAAAUUAUAUUGAAUCUACUAACACAGAAUGUUCUGUUCUCAAUGAGUUUACACAAAACAGGUGAAGAAGCAAAGACCAGCAGUCUAAGAUCCAGGCACAAACUUGGUGGCGUAGACCCAUGCGUUAUUAGCAACUGGGUUGUCAAGGUGGUCCAAGAGGUUCUCAAGGGGGCCUUUUCCGGUCACAAUAGCUUGGACAAAGAAGCCAAACAUGGAGAACAUGGCUAGCCGUCCAUUCUUGAUUUCCUUGACCUUGAGCUCAGCAAAUGUGACCGGGUCAUCAGCGAGGCCAAGAGGAUCGAAGUAUUGUCCACCAGGGUACAGGUUGUUGCCAUCUCCAACUCCAGGAAGGCCAUUAAUGCGGAAGCCCUCAACAAGACCCAUGAGGACAACUUGGAAGCCGAGGACUGCCAGAAUGCUCUGGGCAUGAACAAGGUUGGGGUUGCCCAA